AGAGUUUGAUCAUGGCUCAGAACGAACGCUGGCGGCAUGCCUAACACAUGCAAGUCGAACGAGACCUUCGGGUCUAGUGGCGCACGGGUGCGUAACGCGUGGGGAUCUGCCCUUUGCUUCGGAAUAACAGUUAGAAAUGACUGCUAAUACCGGAUGAUGACUUCGGUCCAAAGAUUUAUCGGCAAAGGAUGAACCCGCGUAGGAUUAGCUAGUUGGUGGGGUAAAGGCCUACCAAGGCGACGAUCCUUAGCUGGUCUGAGAGGAUGAUCAGCCACACUGGGACUGAGACACGGCCCAGACUCCUACGGGAGGCAGCAGUGGGGAAUAUUGGACAAUGGGCGAAAGCCUGAUCCAGCAAUGCCGCGUGAGUGAUGAAGGCCUUAGGGUUGUAAAGCUCUUUUACCCGGGAUGAUAAUGACAGUACCGGGAGAAUAAGCUCCGGCUAACUCCGUG
rnacentral:rRNA from 1 species